CUAAUAAAGUGUUCGGUGGUUUAAACAUACCCGCCGUUCGGGUCGCGUACGUGCACGGUUCGGUCGAUCCGUGGCAUGCACUCGGUAUGACUACUACGCAGGAUAACGACGCGCCCGCUAUCUUCAUUGAAGGUACAGCACACUGCGCGAACAUGUAUCCACCCAGCGAGGACGAUCCAGCGAAGCUAGUCGCAGCACGUGUUGAGAUCCAGUCCUACAUCGGCACGUGGUUGAAUCUUGCCUGAACGACGGCGCUGCACCAAUCUCUUAAGGCAAGCCCGCAUCUUGUGGGAGGCACGAAAAUGAGAUAUUUGUAUGUAGUAAAUCCAUAUAAGGCUUUUUCUUUUUUUUUCCACAUUGUGUUUAUUUAAGCUCUGUGUUUUUAUAAAUGUUAUGUUGUAGUUAAACUGUAAAUAAGUGCGCAUUUAUGUCGUAAGUAUCAGAUAUGGUUCGCUAUGUGUAUCGGAGGAGUCGAUCUAAAUUCAGAUAAGAAGGCUUCAUUACUCUUUUACUGUCUACUUUUUCUUAAAACACUGACAAGUGCAAGUUGGUUUACGCAAUCUAAUCCAAAAUCUUUAGUUGACAGAGUUAAUUUAGUAUAAUUUAGUAGUGCUAUCCAUAUCUACGGGGAAGAGUAUAGCACAACUACAUUUAAUCUGCCAUCUAAAUGUGUGUGAUUGGAUUGAUUAUUAAUUUCCGUAAGAGAUAGAUGGAUUUGCCUUUGACUGAAACAAGAUAAUGCUUUACCAACUUUACGUGAAUAUUCUAAGACUAAAAAUCUGUCUAGAUUUAAGAACUUAGGGGGAGGGGGGACUGGUGGAUGGGGGUUAUGGGUUAGGGUCUAAAGGGGUUACCAUCGGUUUGGCAUGGGAGGACGGAGAGACCAGGCAAUUUCAAUUUGAGUAUGCUCGGAUUCGGUUCAUUACGUUUUAAAAGAGGUUUAUUAUUGUGAUAUUUUCUCAUUGCCUCUUCCAUAUAUUUCUUUUAUGGGGAAAGACUUUUUACCCUUAACAUAUUUGCACGCUCGCAAUCGUAGAGUCGAUUUCGUGUAUCGAAACAGUUGAAGUUCUUAGUAAAACUUAUUAUGGUUAUUUUUUUAGUGUCGCAAAUUCUGAAUUAAUUUUCCAUAUUUACAAACGUUCUUGUUAGAUCUACUAUCUAGGCUGUUAAGUAAGUGAUUUAAGCUUUAAAACAAAAGGUUUGGAUUAUUAAACAUUCAAUUACCUGAAGUCUAUAUACUGCUACAAUACUCGAAAGCGUACUGUACUAUUUAUUGCAAGUGAACAAACUUUUACUAAGGGUAGAUAAUGUUACUUCUUGAAGUUGUAUAAUUUUGAACAAUCGUACUCGAUUGAUUAUAUUGUCCGUGCAGUCUCGGCUAAGAAUAAGACUGCUCCAGAUCUUUCCGUGGAUGUCGUAAAAGGCGACUAAGGAUUUAAAGUCGCAAGGUGGAUAAUAGUAUACUACUGAACAGAUGAUAUUAUUACCCAUCUUGCGAUACUGAAAAGGUGAUUACAACUGUAUGCCUUUGAACCGUAUGGUGGCGGUUAUCCACCAAUGCAAAUUCCCCAAGAGGAAAAACCCACAAGGUGCCUUCAAGCUAAGAGAAGAAGACAUGUUGCGUCGACCCCACGAAGGAAGUGUGGGAGGGCAAGGUAAAUAAUUAAAUUCUUACUUUGAGCUUUUAUGAUUUGGAUAUGAGGUUACCAUGGCGAACCACAGAAUGCAGCAAAAUCAAAAAUAACUAAUAGGUUCAUUAAUAUUAUUUUACUACGCCAACACAAAAAAAAUAUGAACAUAACCGAUUACAUCAUAAUGCACUUGACAUAAAUGCGCAAUUAUGAAAUAGUAGUAUCUAGUUCUUGAAACCAACAUAUUUUGUCGAUUUAGCUAUUCGAUUCGAUGAAAUUGUCUUGCAAAUGGAAAAAUAAUGUUUAACAUCUUAGAAAGCCCAGGAUGUUUUUUUUUGUUUUCUAUUAAAAGGUUAAGGUAAGGCGUUUUCACACUUGAAAUAUUCGGAUACCCUAAAUCAAAGGAUUCAUAACAUUUUUUUCAAGAAACUCGUGCUACAACUUCAAAACUUGAUUAGAUGGCCACAGAUGAUCUUAAUGGUCAGAUGGCUACAGGAAGAGCCGUACCGCCAAGCGAUUCAGCGGUGUGGUAUGAAGCCGCAUAGUUAGGGUGUAGUGUCGUCACUGAACAUCAGGUGAGAUCGUAGUCGUGAGCAUUGGAUAAAGACUAACUAUUACAUUUUCCGCCGAUUUUAUCUGUGAAAACGUUCUAUUUGCUGGGUUCGUAUUCGAGAAAGUUUUCAAAUUGGACAGGAGAGUUAUUUAUAAAAUGAUUGGGCACAGGAGACGGUUCGGUGUAUACUCACUGCUGGAUUUACGGUUUUAGGAUGUUUAGGUGUGAGGAUGUAGGAAAAUAGCUGUUGGAUCAGAUUUAAAAUUAUAGUAAAUGGAAUAGACUUGAAAUGUAUUGACAAGCCCAAUAACCUUUAAACGAUCAAACUGCACUUUUGAUUACGCUAUUAAGACAAGCGGUGCGACUUUUUCUAAAAAUGAAAAAAUCCGCUUUUCUUGUUUUCCCGGAAAUGACGAUAAACCACCCGAAUCUCCAUUCUCGUGGCUUCACUAUCCCAUUAUAUUAAAACUGGAAUAUUUAUAAAUUUGGUUUAGUUAUUACUAAGUGCAAGUUACUCUGUAAUACCUAAUCAAAAACAAAUCUAUACCGGAACCAACCGAUAUCCCACUAAGCAACACUGAAAUAUGUCCAACUGGCAGCAUUGUGACAAGAAUAACGUAAAGUGACUAAAUAUAUAUAAGGACAAGAAAAUAACGAGAGGAUUAAUUUUCUAGGUCCGGGGUAGCUAUAUCACGAAUUCUCAUUGGAAUUUGUCGGUUCGAGAGAAUUUGGUGCGAAAGAAAUCGGCAUAUAUUUCUUAUGGGCCCGUUAGAAGUAAUCCGUGAUAUCAGCUAUGUCUCAAGUAAAAAACACAAUAAGUCUUCCGAUAUUCAGACGAUGCCGAUUUUCGCUUUGAAAUUAAUAUAUUCUAUAUAUUUUGGAAUGAUAUUUUUUUAUAAUAUUUUUUGAUUGUUAUAAUGGUUCAUGACGCAUGGCAGCCGCAAUAGUAUUCAUACGUCCAUGAACAAACGGAAAUGCUCGUUAUAUUACUUAUACAUGAAGGUGCUCGGCAACAUAGGAGUCGGGGUUUUUGUACACCGGUGCGGCGAAUGGCAGUGGUUAAUUUAGCUAAUUGUAGCAUGGGUGUACGAAAUAUACCCAAAGUUUGAUGUCGAAAAUAAAGGGAAACUAUUAACCUCAUAAAGCAAUAAGAUUUGUGUGUUUUAUGUUCGAUUUUUUUCUCGUUCGGUAUUGUAACCGCAACCAAGGAAAACUACCUCAUGGUCCUUAUAGACGGCAACCGAGGUCUGCCUCGUUUCACUUUCAUUACGAGCAAACGACUAAUGAGCGUGCGACGAAGAUUUAGUUGCACAGAUUGAUUGGUAGCUUACCAGCCAACCUGUGUGACUAAGUGACCUUGGGUAUCAAUUGCGCUUAUUAAAUUCUAUUGACAGAUUCGAUGACUCAUCGCUCUUAACAUCUUGCGGUGCCUGAUAUAAGCGUAAUUGUACAAUUUUUCGCGUUUAAUUUCAUAGUUGAGUUAUGGACUAAAUACGACGCAGGCGCUUCGUAUAGUAUAUACCGUUAUAUUUAAUUCAAAAUUUAAGUUUUAGUCAAUGGUUAGAUCAAUUUUGGAUGUCGUCAUAGUCGAUGAAGCGCCGGCAUCGUGUUUCAGCGAAAAUAAUUAGUAGCUGAUAUUAGCAGUGCCUUAAAUCGGAGUAGUAUUUUAAGCAAGAGCCACCAUUUUCCCUAGAAUAUGAGUAGGUGCUUUGUUUAUGUACAAACAGCGUUUAAUGAUGGAACACAAAGAAGUUAUUUUUAUUAGAUGUGAGGAGAGAUCGUUUUUAUUUGCCAAACUGUAUUGGAGUUUGUACAAAAACAAUGUACCUUUUUUAUAGUAUAGCUAGGUGUAUAGCGAAAAAUCGGAUCGUCUUCCCCUCUCAAGAUCAUAUCCUAGUCAAGACCAUUAUUACUAGAUCGAGACAAUUCAUAAACAGUCCAUUUUAUUUCAUUAAUUUCUUCGAAACGCAAAACGGCGACUUAACGGUUGAACUUAUCUACCUUUGGUACGGGGAGUUCUACUGCAGAUCGCCACCUAUCAUAAGUCAGCUGGUACCUUAUCACCACCGUGUGUUCGACAACACCGAACACACUGGUGCACUGUGCUAAGGAACACUGGUUAAGUUGCUGUCUAGAGUUUCCAUUUAUUUGGUUAUUUUCACUUUGUUAAUCUGGCAACUUUUGUAAUGAUUAAGUUAAUAUUUCGGAUGAGCAUAAUAUAAAGUGUCAUUUUAACAAAAUUCAUCAUCUCAUAAGAAGUUCGUUGUGACAGAUCCGUAGAACUUUUGGAGAACUUUGUAACGUUUUCGCAUUGUUUGCGGUGUACGUGCCUUAGUAUAAUAUAGUAUAGUUUAUGUUGAUAUGCGGUUAGAAGUUUACUAUCCUGUAGGCUCGAAGUCUUAUCGAACUGUCAAAACGUUCCCAUUAGGUAUUUUUAAUUUCCAUUAUACUUAACUUUAAGUUAAAUCUUUUUAUUCCUUAUUUUUCAAGUCUCACUUCACUUUUCUAUGUACUUACUGCAUUUUAUUGAAGAUAUUUGUGGUGUGUCUUGUAACAACAUAGGUACUACCAACACUUGACCAUAAUAGACAACAUCGAAUAACUUCAAAAAUGCAAAUUUGAUGAAUUCCGAUACUCAUCCGUACUGGGAACGUUCCCAGUUUUGCAGUUUGUACUGAAACAUUCUAAUUAAUGGGCUUGUUGAUAUGAUAGAGUGUUUGGUCCCUAACACUGUGAGUCGGAUGUAAUAAAAAAAAACCCAGAUUUCAUCUUGUGAUCUGGCAGGUUAUUUCGUUAUGUCAGGUAAUGAUUUACACAAUUUUACCUUUAACAAAGAGGAAUUCAUGGCAAAACCAUUACGCCGGUUUACCUAAAUAUAAUUGAGUGGUUAUAAUUUAAAUUUUCCACGUUUAACCAAUCCAAUAUAUCGUGAUCUAGUAAUUACAAAAUAUCGGUGGAUCAACAAAGUUUACGAACUAAAUAUGACCACUAUCCUUUGAUAAGUGAAUGAUAAACUGGAAUAAGAAAAUUAAAUUACAAUAAACCAAAUAGCUGGGAGAUCAUAAAAUCGAUUAUAAUAAUUUUAGAGCGAAAUAAACCAAAAUUGCGUCUUGAUUUUCAUUUUAUAAGCUGAUUCAACAUACUAUUUUCCUACUUAUUGAGUAGACGGUUCCAUCCUUUUAAUAUUUCUUAUAUGUUCUAACAUAUAUUUUCUGUAACUUUAUGUUAAUAUUGUACCUUGUUAUUUUAUCAGAUUUUGAUAUUGUUUGAUUAAGGUUCAUUUGAAAGUAUAUAUUUUGUGUUUAUUACCUUUAGUUCCUCCAAUAAGUAAUAAUAGAAUAUCAGCAAUGAUGUUCUUUUAUUCCUGACAUGAGUGAAGGGAUUGGAGUAUGAGAGAAGGAUAAAAGAAAGUAUAGAUAUAAUCCAUUUAAUAUUCGUAAUAUUUAUCGAUAUAUAAUCACAUUUAUUGGCUUGAGGGCCCGCGUCAGUGUUGUGUGUUAUCCGGAAAGGCGCUAUGAGUGUAUUUUCGUGGAAGAUGGUUUCUUAUGGGCUUCGGCCCUCUGUCGCACGGUCGGUGGCAUGGCACUCUCUUGCGCUUUGCCAAGCGGCGCUGUAGUGCGGUCGGCCGUGCAUCGGGGUCACGCGUAGAUGAAUACAACCCUACACCACCACUGAAAGCCGCGUGCUCUAACAUCGAGCGCAACUAUUCAUACAGUGAGAGUAACAAUUGCAUACCUCUACGUUUGGCCCGAAGGUAUUCAGAGCCACGUGCUCCUUUUUAAUGUUCUAUUUAGUGGCGUGGAAAUAUUUAUUUAUGGAGAAGGUUUCUUCGUAUGGUAAGGGAAAACAGAAUUAUUAGUCCUUCAAGACUAAUUUUGUGGUUGGCUACUUACAGUGGUGUCAAUCUUACGUAAGGCGUUAUGCUGGUUGGUAGAACAAGUUUCCCCUUAUACAACACGGCGAACGGGUAUUUUUGCUUAAUUUACUCAUAUAAUAUUCGCAUAUUAAUCUCUUAUUCUAUAUAAUAGUAAUCGAUGUUGUGUGUGUACUUUCUCUUUUCCCAACAUUAUCUACCGCUCUCCUUCUCCCCUCAGCCGUAAUAUCACAAAAUGUUUCGACCGUUUUAUUAUUAUUUAAACAAUGUCUGAUGUAUUGUCUUUAACAUUGUGUUUAAAACAAUUACGGUGUUAUUUUAGAAUUAUAUUUAAGUUUUUUUUUAAUAAAAUUUAACUAUUUUUAUAAUGAAACAAUUUAUAAUAAUUUCCUAUUAAAAUUUCUCUUACACUUUGUAAUACAGUUAUUAAAUUAUGGUUAGAGGAUUUUCACAAUUGACAUCUGUGUGUCUAUAGCCGAUUUAGCAUAAUCUGUAAAGUGUACGUUUACUUACAAUGUAGCCUUAAAUAAAAUAUACUUUAUAUAUAAUUCAAUAAAAUACAUAAAACAAAAACAUGUUACACUUAAAGCAUUUCUAAUGAGUAUACAAAUUAUGGAAUAACCAAAAAAAUUAACCAUGCGCUUAGCAAUGAUAAAAAAAAAAAAAUUAUUCCAUGUGUACAUAAGACGAAAAGCUAUUA